UCGAGAAUUUUUCACAAUGGGGGAAACCCUGAUGGAGCGACGCCGCGUGGGGGAUGAAUGGCUUCGGCCCGUAAACCCCUGUCAUUUGCGAGCAAAGCGCAUUAUUUAAAAGAUGAUGUGUUGAUAGUAGCGGAAGAGGAAGGGACGGCUAACUCUGUGCCAGCAGCCGCGGUAAUACAGAGGUCCCGAGCGGUGUUCGGAUUCACUGGGCGUAAAGGGUGCGUAGGUGGUGAGGUGUGUCGGAUGUGAAAUCUCGGAGCUCAACUAAGAAACUGCAUUGGAAACUACCUUGCUGGGGGGUUGGAGGGGGGACUGGAAUACUUGGUGUAGCAGUGAAAUGCGUAGAUAUCAAGUGGAACACCAGUGGUGAAGGCGAGUCCCUGGACAACUCCUGACACUGAGGCACGAAAGCUAGGGGAGCAAACAG
rnacentral:rRNA from 1 species